GGCCUCCCAAUUCUUACCACAGGCUGUGUUCUUUACACUGACUGUAUAGAAAGAGGAGGUACAAUAAAUGCACCCAUAUUCACCUCAACACAGGCCCUUUGCCUGGUAUGUAUUGUGAAUAGGGGGACAAAA